AACAAGGAAUUCCAUACAGGCCCAUGAAUGGCCUUGCAGAAGAGAUAUGCAUAUCACUCAGUCCAUCUGCCUAGAAGAUGAGGAUAAGGGCGAUUGCUGCAUGAUGAACCCUGCCCAGAAAUUUAUCCCACUGUGUUCAGUGAAGCCAAGCCUCUCCAAGAUUCUGUUGACUCUGCCGUUUCUUAACCUCCCCAUCCUCCUUCAAUUUUCAUGCCCUCAUCUGAUGGCAACAACCAGGAAACAAAGUGUGCAAUUGUGCUGUGAACCCUAAUGAUAAAGGUCACCAAAUCUCAA